rnacentral:rRNA from 1 species
AUUGAACGCUGGCGGCAUGCCUUACACAUGCAAGUCGAACGGCAGCACGGGAGCAAUCCUGGUGGCGAGUGGCGAACGGGUGAGUAAUAUAUCGGAACGUGCCCAGUCGUGGGGGAUAACGCAGCGAAAGCUGUGCUAAUACCGCAUACGAUCUACGGAUGAAAGCGGGGGAUCGCAAGACCUCGCGCGAUUGGAGCGGCCGAUAUCAGAUUAGGUUGUUGGUGGGGUAAAAGCCCACCAAGCCGACGAUCUGUAGCUGGUCUGAGAGGACGACCAGCCACACUGGAACUGAGACACGGUCCAGACUCCUACGGGAGGCAGCAGUGGGGAAUUUUGGACAAUGGGCGCAAGCCUGAUCCAGCAAUGCCGCGUGCAGGAUGAAGGCCUUCGGGUUGUAAACUGCUUUUGUACGGAACGAAACGGUCUGCUCUAAUACAGCGGACUAAUGACGGUACCGUAAGAAUAAGCACCGGCUAACUACGUGCCAGCAGCCGCGGUAAUACGUAGGGUGCGAGCGUUAAUCGGAAUUACUGGGCGUAAAGCGUGCGCAGGCGGUUAUAUAAGACAGAUGUGAAAUCCCCGGGCUCAACCUGGGACCUGCAUUUGUGACUGUAUAGCUAGAGUGCGGCAGAGGGGGAUGGAAUUCCGCGUGUAGCAGUGAAAUGCGUAGAUAUGCGGAGGAACACCGAUGGCGAAGGCA